rnacentral:rRNA from 1 species
GAUGAACGCUGGCGGCGUGCCUAAUACAUGCAAGUCGAGCGAACAGACGAGGAGCUUGCUCCUUCGACGUUAGCGGCGGACGGGUGAGUAACACGUAGGUAACCUACCUAUAAGACUGGGAUAACUUCGGGAAACCGGCGCUAAUACCGGAUAAUAUUUCGCACCGCAUGGUUCGAUAGUGAAAGAUGGCUUUGCUAUCACUUAUAGAUGGACCUGCGCCGUAUUAGCUAGCUGGUAAGGUAACGGCUUACCAAGGCAACGAUACGUAGCCGACCUGAGAGAGGGAUAGGCCACACUGGAACUGAGACACGGUCCAGACUACUACGGGAGGCAGCAGUAGGGAAUCUUCCGCAAUGGGCGAAAGCAUGACGGAGCAACGCCGCGUGAGUGAUGAAGGUCUUCGGAUCGUAAAACUCUGUUAUUAGGGAAGAACAAACGUGUAAGUAACUGUGCACGUCUUGACGGUACCUAAUCAGAAAGCCACGGCUAACUACGUG